rnacentral:pre_miRNA from 1 species
UCUUAUGAAUGAGCACAGAAAGUGGUUUCUUGAUAUGGAAUCUACUCUUGGUGAAGGUGUUUUAAA